UGGGGAAUAUUGGGCAAUGGGCGCAAGCCUGACCCAGCAACGCCGCGUGAAGGAAGAAGGCUUUCGGGUUGUAAACUUCUUUUGUCAGGGACGAAACAAAUGACGGUACCUGACGAAUAAGCCACGGCUAACUACGUGCCAGCAGCCGCGGUAAUACGUAGGUGGCAAGCGUUAUCCGGAUUUACUGGGUGUAAAGGGCGUGUAGGCGGGAUUGCAAGUCAGAUGUGAAAACUGGGGGCUCAACCUCCAGCCUGCAUUUGAAACUGUAGUUCUUGAGUGCUGGAGAGGCAAUCGGAAUUCCGUGUGUAGCGGUGAAAUGCGUAGAUAUACGGAGGAACACCAGUGGCGAAGGCGGAUUUUGCUUGGACAGUAACUGACGCUGAGGCGCGAAAGCGUGGGGAGCAAACA
rnacentral:rRNA from 1 species